rnacentral:lncRNA from 1 species
AAGGGAAAUUACAAAAUCAUAUUGAAAACCCCUAUCGAAGCACAUUAAUAAUCUAACUAAUGAAUGUGAUUCGAGAAACAAACCUUGUUCAAGUGCAACCGAUCAGAUCUCGCCCUUGCAUUGCUGGUUUCAACACAGCACUUUGUACACAAAAUCCCCAAAAAAAAAUCAAUAGGUAACCUACUUAAUAGAUUAAUGUAGGUAGAUGUGAAUUUGAAUGGCUUAAAACUCAAUAGGUAACCUACUUAACAAACCAAUUUGAAUGGCUUAAAACUCAAAAAUUGCAAAAUUUUAUAGAAAAGUUUCGGUCAGACCUUAUUUCAAAAGCAUUGCUCUAUUAUUCAGAUAAAAAAAUCAUAUCAAAAGAACCCAUAACUUUAAAAGAAAAUUUGUCCUAAACAAUUUAAACGAAGAAUUCUAAAAAAAAAGGUAAAUCGAUUGAUAAAGACAUGAGUAAAUUAAUUUCAUAAAUAUGAAAUCAUAAACAUGCCAUUUGAUGAGUAGAUUUUAUAUUAUAUAUUUGACCCUAAUCUUAGUGUAUUUUGGUUAAUAUUUUGGAAGAAUUUUGAUACUUUGAUUUGUAUUUUCAAUAUAGGACUUUCGACUUCCUCUGGAGCAAAACAGGACCAAAUGGACGAAUUUUAGAGUAAUUUCAGUUGGUGGACGUUUUUGAGUCACUUAGCUUGAUCGUAUCAAAAUUUGGGGUUUUUACACCAAGCGGUUAUUUUCUGGCGAUAAAAUAAAGGAGCGAUGCGCGGUGCUGGAAAAUGACGUUUCUGGUAUUAAAUUGCGUUUUUGGAGCCCAAGAUGACCUCGGAUGAGUUUGUGGCCUUCUGGAGAAGUGUUUAGAAUGUUCCAAACAUUAGAUCCAACUAUAUUGGGCCAGUUUUGGGGCAGCUUAUGGGUCCAAAACGUGGAUGUUCAUAUUUUAGGCGAAUUUUACCGUUUAAUUUAAGGUUAUGUUUCCUAUUUUAUUUGAUUAUUAUUUUUAGUUUCCUAGUGGGAAUAAAGGACCUGUUUUUAGGGUUUGUGUGGGGGCUUAGCAGAUAUAUUGCUUGGCCGUCUAUAGUUUUUCUCUACACUUUAUUUUAUGCAAUUUUGGAGACAGAGAGAAUUGCUAGGGUUUUUGGAGAUUUUCUACUUGAAGGUGUUUUCAAUCCUUUUCUUAAUAAUAUUUUCUAUGAUUUCAAUUAGGGAGACUUUGGAUGCGGUCCCUAGUUAUGAAUAAUCUUUGACUGAAACUUUGUUGGUUUUCAAUUUUUGAUCCAAGUCCCUAAAAUUAAUUGAUAAUUUAUUUCUAUGUACGUUACUAUAUUUUUUAAAUUAAAAAUUAAAAUUUAUAGUUGUUUAUAGUAAUGAGAUUUUAAAUAAAAAACAUAAUUUGUGGGAUUAAAAAUAUUAAAAUAUAAAUAUACUAUUGUGUGUGUGUGUGUAAACAUGGGUACAUUCAUAAAAAAUAACCAAAAAAUUAUUGUAUCAAAACAUGGGUACAUUCUUCAAAAUGGGUACAUUUAGCAAAAAUAAAAAUGGGUACAAAUAAAUAAAAAAAAAUAUGGGUACAAUACAAAUAAAACUUUAAAAAAUAUGGGCACAAAAAGAAAUUAAUAUAUGGGUACAAAUUAAAAUUGAAAGGAAAAUUGGUACAAAUUAAAAAAGGGUUGCAAAUUAAAAAUGGGUACAAACUAAAAAUAAAAAUAUAUGAUAAAAAAUUUAGCCAUAAAUAUAAAUAUACUAAUUGUAACAUUUUUAAUAUUAAAUGAAUAUAUUUAGAAAUAAAAAAAUAUUUUAUUAUUGAAAUAAUUAAUGAUAUUAUUAAUACAAAGGACCUUGAUCAAAAACUGAAAAGUAAUAAGGUUUUAAUCAAUAGAAUAGUAAAAAUAAGAAUGAAAACCUAAUUACUCCUUUCAAUUAUGAAUAUGCAUAACUAAUUCCUUUUGCUAGGGCGAAGCCUUGAGCUUUAGCAUGAAUAUGUGAUUUUUAUUUAAUUGCUUAUGAUUGAUUGCAUGCAUACUUUGAAUUAUUAAUCACCGAGAUAAAAACUAUCUAAUUGUCUUAAUGCCUGAUCACUAUUAGGAUCUUUAGAAAAGUAAUUUGAUGUAAUUUUGGUCGGAAGGUUCCCUGAAAUUGACACUAGCUUCUUGUGCUUAAUAAUUGUAAUUUCACUUAGGAUGAACACCACGUCUUAAGGAUUGCAUGGUUUUUCAAAGGAUUUUCAUAAAGCAUAAUGAAUCUUUCAUGUUCAGAUUUGAUCCGAACGUCCAGACAGGUUGCAAGUUAGAUAUACGUUCUAUGUUGGAGGUUCCAAGUAGAAUAUAAAUUAGGAAAACCUAACCUUCAAAGCGGCAUGUGUAGAUCAUAAGUAAUUGGUAAAAGUUCAUAGGAUUGCUAGGUGAUGGUGGAACCCUAAUGCUUUCUUAAUUUGAUUCUUCCAAAACUGUUUUCUUUUUCCCCUAGUUCUAAUAUUGCAGAUUGUUUAUUUUAAUUAAUUAAUUUCGUUUUUAUUUUAAAUAGGUUAUAAAAUCAAUCACCUCAAUUUCUACUUUACAAUAAUUAAUUGAAAUUUGGUUUGUUUCGAAUUACUUAAUAAUCUCUGUGGAAAACGACCUUGCGAAAUCCAUUUAUACUACAACAACCUUGUGAUUCUUGCAAGUAUAAUAGGAGUUUUUUAGCCCUUUCAUAUAAGUUGUAAAAUCCCUAUCACCAUUCCUAAUACUACUAUUGGUAUGAACAAGUACAUAAGGAUGCCUAAUACUACCCUUCAAUUUCCUUGACGAAACUGCACUGCAUGCCUCAUUAUUGAUCUGUUGUAGCAUGCAAUACAUAUUUAUGUGCAUAUGAAGAAUUUUCUGAGGUCAAUGAUAUAAUCCUUAACCGAAACAAAAUGCUUUAAACAAAGUGCUUUAAUUAGUGUACUUUAAUGGACCUCUAUGUAAAAGAAAAAAAAAAAAAAGGUCGUACCCAGUGCACAAGGCUCCCGCUUUACGCAGGGUCUGGGAGAGGUGAAUGUCGGCUAGCCUUACCUCUAUGUAAAAGAAGAAGAACAAAAUUAACUUAUUAUUCUUCUAUGCUCUCAUUUUUCCUAGGAUUCAGAUAUUGGAAGUAUGGAAUUAAAGUCGCCAGUAAGUGAGACAGCCGAGUUCAUAUUUGUAUUAUGUUCAGGAAGCUGCUCUGAGAAAGGACCUAAACAGUACAUGGAGGAUGAGUAUAUUUGCGUACAUAAUCUUUGUGAUCGUAUUGGUGAAAUAAAAAAUUUGCCUUCCUCUGGAGCAUUUUAUGGGGGGACAACCAUACUCAUACAAACGAAAUUUCCCCUAGUUUCUUUUUGACAAAAGCCAUCUUAUUAAAUAUACUCUUACUUACUAUCUGUCUAUGAUAAUCAACAUUAAGAUCUGUAAAUACGAUUAUUGGCGCUGAUUAAUCAUCGAAAAAGUUGAAACAACAAUGAUUAAAUCUGCGUCUACAAUGUUUACUUUAUUGCGAAUGCUGCUGUACUCUUUCAGAACCAUGCUAAUAGCUAAUGUUGGGGACUGUCGAGCUAUGUUGGAGUAGCGGGGAAGGGAAAUUAAGCUAUCUAAAGAUCACAAACCUAGCUGCACCUUUGAAAGAUUAAGAAUUGAAAAGCUGGGUGGUGUCAUCUAUGAUGGCUACGUCAAUUACGAUUUGGAUUUUUGUUACGCAUGCAUACAAUACAAAAGUAGUAUAGUUAUUUAAAACAAAGACUCUGGCUUAUCACUUGCAGCCAUGUUUCCAAUCGCUCCAUUUCUUGUGAUUUAUUAAGUUUUCUUCUCUAAUCAAGGGAAAUUACAAAAUCAUAUUGAAAACCCCUAUCGAAGCACAUUAAUAAUCUAACUAAUGAAUGUGAUUCGAGAAACAAACCUUGUUCAAGUGCAAUCUACAUAUUUUACAGCAAUAAUCUGACCAUUUGGCAAGUGGCCUUGAAGUAAUGAAUCAGUAUUACUAUUAGGCUUUCAUGCUUUAAAACCAAAAAAAAAAAAAAAAAAAAAAAACAGUAGACCUGAAGAAACAGAACAAAAUUACUGUAUAAUGCUUAGAAGAAAUCAUUCAAUUUUAAAAUGUGUAGGACUUCUGAAUUGGGAUUCACCUUAUAAACAAUGCCAAAACCCCCUAGGCCGAGUUUGUUAAUGGGUGAGAAGUUAUCUGUGGCUGCUAUUAAUUGUAGACAUUCACUAAGAUGAAAUCGCAUUGCUUUUAUUUAGAUCAAACCGUUAAACAAUUCAGAGGGGUGACUACUUCUCAUACCUUUUGUUUUACUCUUUUUCUUAUGCCGCUAGCAGGCAAACACAAUGAUUAAUACCAAUUCCAGCAGUACCGAAACUAUUGGAAUAGCUAGAGCACCUCCGUCUCAAAAAACCUUUUGAUUUGCUGGUAUGCUUAGCUACACAUUCAAGUCGGACAAAGGAUUAGGAAACCAUGAAAAACAGAAAAUCCCAAAAAACAAUAAACUACUUAAUAUAUUAAUGUAGGCUGAUGUGAAUUUGAAUGGCUUAAAACUCAAUAGGUAACCUACUUAACAAACCAAUUUGAAUGGCUUAAAACUCAGAAAUUGUGAAAUUUUAUACAAAAGUUUCGAUCAGACCUUAUUUCAAAAACAUUCCUCUGUUCUUCCUGAGGCUGCGAAACAACUCUUCCACCAAAACUGAUUUACAACAUCUGUUUCAAGAUUAAUCAUUAUGAGUCAAUUUGGAGAUUUGAUAAAAGAUCUCAAAAAUUAAAUGAAUAAUUCAAAUAAAAAAAAUCAUAUCAAAAGAACCCAUAACUUUAAAAGAAAAACUGUCCUGAACCCUGCAAAUUUAAAUGAAGAAUUCUAAAAUGUCUGUGCAUGUUGAUUUUCCAAGGGUGGCAGAGGAAAUUGUACAGCAAACUUAUUAGAGUUUGAUUUUGGGUAGAUUCAAUGGAACAGUAAAACCAUACACUAAGAACAGAGGUUUUUCACUUAAUAUCAAUAUAUUCAGCUUGUUCUAAAAGCAAAGAACCCAAAGAACAUGUUUUACCGUUGGAGGAGAAUGAAGCAGUUUCUCUCUCUCACAACAUUACAAAAACAUCACAACCAUUCAUUUCUAAGCCAUCAUGUAAGAUGCUUACACUUGUCAUGAGAUAUGACUCAUUAGAAUCUAAUCUAAAUACCAUAUGGAAUAUGAUCCAAUGGCUUACAUUAAACACUGCACAAAGCUUAUAAUGAACCUAACACAGAUAAAGAUGAAGACCAUUUUCAGAUCUCAUGAUCUGUGGGAUAUGGUUGAAACGGGGUAUAAUCCUCCGAUGAAGAAAGAAGACGAAGAACUCACUGCCACUGAACUAAAGCAGCUGAAGGAGAACAUGAUCAAGGAUGCUAAGGCUCUCGGGAUUAUUCAAGGUUCUGUGUCCGAUGAAAUUUUCCCACGAAUUGCCAUACUGGAGACGGCAAAGGAGGCUUGGGAUGCACUGAAGCAAGAAUUUAUUGGGGAUAAACAGGUGAGAUCUGUGAAACUCCAAAGUUUAAGGCGAGAUUUUAAAUACACUCGUAUGGGUGAAAAUGAAGCAUUCUCUGUGUAUGUUGUGCGAUUAUUUGAUCUUAUGUCACAAAUGAAAAGUUAUGGUGAAGAUAUAGGAAAUCAAAGAAUUGUGCAGAAGCUAUUGAUAAGUUUGCCUAGGUCUUAUGAUAGUAUUGUUGCUGUGAUAGAAAACACUAGGGAUCUGGAGAGUGUUUGAUGUGCAGGAUGUUGUUGCUACCUUAAAGGGGUAUGAACAACGAAUUGAUAGACACUCUGAAGAUAGAAAUGAAAAGGCAUUUGCUAGUUUAAGUAUAGCUCCCAGGAAGACUAACUAUAAUGCCAAUCAAAACUUCAAACCCACAAAGAAUUGGAAGUCUAAGGGUAAGAAGUGGGAUAACAAACCUGUGCAUCAGCAAGGGAAAUUUGCUACAUCCCCUGAUGGAGCUAAAAAUUCCUGCAAAUAUUGUGACAAACUCCACUUUGGAGAAUGUUGGUUCAAAGGAAAACCAAGGUGCCAUAAUUGUGAUAAGCCAGGGCAUUUUGCCAAAGACUGCAGAUCUAAGAAAGCAGUUCAACAAGCAAAUUAUGUUGGACAAGUGGAUAAUACUCCAACUAUGUUUUAUACGUGUAUGACAGCUGCUGUGAAAAAGCAUGAAGAUACAUGGUAUAUUGACAGUGGUUGUAGUAACCACAUGACAGGAAGAGAAGAUCUAUUGGUGAAUUUAGAUAAGAGAGUAACUGCCAAAGUAGAAAUGGGUACAGGACAACUAGUUGAUGUGGUUGGAAAGGGUGACUUAAUGGUUGAAACUAAGCAAGGCAGAAGAUAUAUAAGAGAGAUUAUGUUUGUACCUGGUUUGAAGGAGAAUCUGUUAAGUGUGGGACAGAUGAUGGAGCAUGGAUACAACCUGGUUUUUGGAGGAAUUGAAGUCAGAAUCUAUGAUGAUGCUACAUGCUCAAAUCUAGUUAUUAAAGUUCCAAUGAAAGGCAAUAGAAGCUUUCCUUUGAAAUUACAACAAGGCAUUCAUCUUGCUAUGAGGGCUAGUGUUGGUCAAUCUGCUGAAAUAUGGCAUAGAAGAUUAGGACACCUGAACAUGAAUGCUCUAAUGCAGCUUCAAGAGCAUGAAAUGGUAACUGGUCUGCCUGAGAUGGAAGUGAACACCACAGUGUGUGAAGGCUGUGCACUUGGUAAGCAUUCCAGAGAAGCUUUUCCCAAGGCAACUAAAUGGAGAGCUGUCUUACCAUUGGAAUUGAUCCACACUGAUAUAUGUGGACCCAUGCAAACACCUACCAAGGCUGGAAACAAAUAUUUCAUCACUUUCACAGAUGAUUGUACAAGAAUGGGAUGGGUUUAUUUCUUGAGGAAUAAAUCUGAGACAUUCAGUGUGUUCAAGAAAUUCAAAGCAACUGUUGAACUUCAAAGUGGAUAUAAACUGAAAAAAUUAAGAAGUGACAGAGGAGGAGAGUAUACUUCACUUGAAUUUUCUCAGUUUUGUGAAAAUUUUGGUUUGGAGAGACAGCUCACAGUGGCUUAUUCCCCUCAGCAGAAUGGUGUUGCAGAGAGGAGGAAUAGAACCAUUGUAGAAAUGGCUAAGUGUAUGAUGUUGGAUAAGGGUAUUCCAUUUGAAUUUUGGGCAGAAGCGGUCAACACUGCUGUCUAUAUUCUAAAUAGAUGUCCCACCAAAGCUUUGAACAAGAAGACUCAUUUUGAAGCUUACAGUGGAAGGAAGCCUGGAGUGAAGCAUUUAAGAGUGUUUGGAUCUCUAUGCUUUGCACAAGUUCCAUCACAAAUGAGGCAGAAAUUGGAUGCAACAAGUGUCAAAUGCAUUUUUAUUGGUUAUGGAUCUUGUGAGAAAGGUUACAGGUUAUUCAAUCCUGAAACCAAGAAGAUUAUUAUCUCAAGAGAUGUAAUCUUUGAUGAGAACUCUUGCUGGAAUUGGAAAACUCAUGCUGAGAAGAAUCUGUCCAUUUCAGUCUCUAAUGAAGAACAUUGUGAUGAAGGGAGUAAUGUUGAAAGUGAAGUAGAUGAGAGGUGUACAAAAUCCUUACUGGAGCAACAAAAUCAAACUGUUGGUUCUCAUUCAAGUCAAGAGGAACAAGUAAAUCUUGCUGAAUCUCAAGAGUUUGAUCACACACCUCUAAAAUUCAGAAGUGUGAAAGAUAUAUAUGAAAGGUGCAAUCUAUGUGUGAUAGAACCGGAGUGUUUUGAAGAAGCAUCAGGUGAUGAAGCUUGGAGAAAAGCUAUGUCUGCAGAAAUUGAAAUGAUAGAAAAGAAUGAUACAUGGGAGUUAGUUAAUAGGCCGUUUGAUAAACCAGUAAUUGGUGUCAAAUGGGUCUAUAAGACAAAGCUUAACCUGGAUGGAUCAGUGCAGAAAAAUAAGGCAAGAUUAGUGGCAAAGGGCUAUUCUCAGAAGCCUGGGGUUGAUUUUAAUGAGACUUUUGCACCAGUGGCAAGGCUCGAUACUAUUAGAACCUUGAUUGCACUGGCAGCUCAAAAGGAAUGGAAAUUGUUCCAAUUGGAUGUUAAAUCGGCAUUCCUGAAUGGUACAUUACAUGAGGAAGUAUAUGUUGAUCAACCUCAAGGGUUUGAAGUCAAAGGGAAAGAAGACAAAGUUUACAGACUGAAAAAGGCCUUAUAUGGUCUGAAACAAGCUCCCAGAGCUUGGUAUGACGAGAUAGAUACAUAUUUCAAUCAGUCUGGUUUCAAGAGAAGUCAAAGUGAAGCUACUUUGUAUACUAAAUUCAGUGAUGCAGGUGUGCUUAUUGUAUCUCUGUAUGUAGAUGACAUUAUCUACACAGGGAGUUCUGAUAAGAUGGUUCAAGAAUUCAAAAAUGAUAUGAUGAAACAGUAUGAAAUGUCAGAUUUGGGAUUGUUGCAUCAUUUCCUUGGCUUAGGCAUCAUUCAAACAGAUAAUGGCAUAUUCAUUCAUCAGAAGAAGUAUGCCAAGUCUUUACUGGAAAAAUUUGGUUUGAAGGAUUGUAAAGCAGUGAAAACUCCACUUGCUAUUACUGACAGGUUAUCCAAAGUUGAUGGAAGUGAGGAAGCUGAUGAAGGUUUAUACAGGAGAAUGGUUGGUAGUUUGUUAUAUCUAACAGCUACUAGACCAAAUUUGAUGUAUGCAUCAUGCUUGUUGGCAAGAUUUAUGCAUAAACCUACCAUGAAGCACAUGGGAACAGCUAAAAGGGUACUGAGAUAUGUACAAGGGACACUGGAUUUUGGAAUUGAGUAUGUGAAGGGCAAAGCUGCUGUGUUGAUAGGCUAUUGUGACAGUGACUGGGCAGGAAGCUUGGAUGAUAUGAAAAGUACCUCGGGCUAUGCAUUCAGUUUUGGUUCGGGGGUAUUCUCUUGGGCUUCUGUUAAACAAUGUAGUGUGGCACUAUCCACUGCAGAAGCAGAAUAUGUAUCUGCUGCAGUAGCCACAACACAAGCAAUGUGGCUGAGAUUUGUGUUGACUGAUUUUGGGGAAGAACAAGUAGAGGCUACACCUUUGCUUUGUGAUAACACCUCUGCCAUAGCCAUGUCCAAGAAUCCAGUAUUUCACCAGAAAACAAGGCAUAUCAACAGAAAAUAUCACUUCAUUAGGGAUGUUAUUCAAGAUGGAACCAUUGAAUUACACUACUGCAGGACAGAGGAGCAAUUGGCAGACAUGUUUACAAAGGCUCUUCCUAAAGAUAGGUUUGAAUACUUGAGAGAUGCACUUGGAGUAAAAUCAGCAAAACAUUUAGAAGGGAGUAUUGAUGUAUAAAUGUCUUUGCUGUGUUAGGUUCAUUAUAAGCUUUGUGCAAUGUUUAAUGUAAGCCAUUGGAUCAUAUUCCAUAUGGUAUUUAGAUUAGAUUCUAAUGAGUCAUAUCUCAUGACAAGUGUAAGCAUCUUACAUGAUGGCUUAGAAAUGAAUGGUUGUGAUGUUUUUGUAAUGUUGUGAGAGAGAGAAACUGCUUCAUUCUCCUCCAACGGUAAACAUGUUCUUUGGGUUCUUUGCUUUUAGAACAAGCUGAAUAUAUUGAUAUUAAGUGAAAAACCUCUGUUCUUAGUGUAUGGUUUUACUGUUCCAUUGAAUCUACCCAAAUAACAAUUCUUCAUAUGUUUGAAGAAAAAACUACAUGCAUGCGACAUCUACAAAGGUUUCUAAGCUUACCUAGGGGCCCAAAUACAACACAAUUAACAAAACUUCAAAAACUCCCACACAAAUUCAUUCAUCAAACCCCCAAAAAAAAUUUAAAAAAAAAAACCACAAACGAAAAGAAAAAAACGCAGAAAAAUUUGAUCAAAACGACGACUAAAGACACCUAAAAAAACCAAAUUGAAAAAUCAUGGGGGUGAGUAUCAACCAAGAACUCACCCAAAUAGAAUCCAAUAAGGAGAAUGAAUCAUCGGGAGAUAAGGAGAGCGGCAAGCCAAGGAGAGGGGCGACAUGAUUCUUGAGGUAUGGGUCUUAGAUUUCCCGUUCAAGGGAAAAGGGGAGGGAAUUGAAUUGAAGCCAUAUCUUUAACAAUGGAGGAAAAAGAAGAGAUAUAUCUGGACCUAGUCUC